rnacentral:rRNA from 1 species
ACAAUAUAACAAACAAGUUUGACCUCAAAUCAGGUAGGAUUACCCGCUGAACUUAAGCAUAUCAAUAAGCGGAGGAAAAGAAACCAACAGGGAUUGCCUUAGUAACGGCGAGUGAAGCGGCAAAAGCUCAAAUUUGAAAUCUGGCACCUUCGGUGUCCGAGUUGUAAUUUGAAGAAGGUAACUUUGGAGUUGGCUCUUGUCUAUGUUCCUUGGAACAGGACGUCACAGAGGGUGAGAAUCCCGUGCGAUGAGAUGCCCAAUUCUAUGUAAAGUGCUUUCGAAGAGUCGAGUUGUUUGGGAAUGCAGCUCUAAGUGGGUGGUAAAUUCCAUCUAAAGCUAAAUAUUGGCGAGAGACCGAUAGCGAACAAGUACAGUGAUGGAAAGAUGAAAAGAACUUUGAAAAGAGAGUGAAAAAGUACGUGAAAUUGUUGAAAGGGAAGGGCUUGAGAUCAGACUUGGUAUUUUGCGAUCCUUUCCUUCUUGGUUGGGUUCCUCGCAGCUUACUGGGCCAGCAUCGGUUUGGAUGGUAGGAUAAUGACUAAGGAAUGUGGCUCUACUUCGGUGGAGUGUUAUAGCCUUGGUUGAUACUGCCUGUCUAGACCGAGGACUGCGUCUUUGACUAGGAUGCUGGCAUAAUGAUCUAAGCCACCCGUCUUGAAACACGGACCAAGGAGUCUAACGUCUAUGCGAGUGUUUGGGUGUAAAACCCGU